GUCCUGGCCCUAAACGAUGGGUACUAGGUAGUAGACUUGACAUGGGUUUACUGCCGGAGCUAAAGUGCUAAGUACCCCGCCUGGGAGUAUGGUCGCAAGGCUGAAACUCAAAGGAAUUGACGGGGCUCACACAAGCGGUGGAGCAUGUGGCUUAAUUCGAGGCUACGCGAAGAACCUUAUCCUAGGCUUGACAUGUGCGAAAGCGCCUGCAGGUAGGACCCGGAAACGGGACGAACGGUAUCCAACCCGGAAGCAGGUACAGGUGCUGCAUGGCUGUCGU
rnacentral:rRNA from 1 species